rnacentral:rRNA from 2 species
AGGUGAUAUGAACCGUUAUAACCGGCGAUACCCGAAUGGGGAAACCCAGUGUGACUCGUCACACUAUCAUUAACUGAAUCCAUAGGUUAAUGAGGCGAACCGGGGGAACUGAAACAUCUAAGUACCCCGAGGAAAAGAAAUCAACCGAGAUUCCCCCAGUAGCGGCGAGCGAACGGGGAGGAGCCCAGAGCCUGAAUCAGCAUGUGUGUUAGUGGAAGCGUCUGGAAAGGCGCGCGAUACAGGGUGACAGCCCCGUACACAAAAGCGCAUGUGCUGUGAGCUCGAUGAGUAGGGCGGGACACGUGGUAUCCUGUCUGAAUAUGGGGGGACCAUCCUCCAAGGCUAAAUACUCCUGACUGACCGAUAGUGAACCAGUACCGUGAGGGAAAGGCGAAAAGAACCCCGGCGAGGGGAGUGAAAAAGAACCUGAAACCGU